rnacentral:tRNA from 3 species
GCAGGUGAGAUGGAAUUGGUUUACAUCCGGUACUUAGGAUACUGGGGCAUUAAAGCCGUGUGGGUUCAAGUCCCAUCACCUGUA